rnacentral:lncRNA from 1 species
UAGAAGCUCAUUCCUUCAUUAUUUCUUACGAAUUCACUAAAACUCUAGAGAGAGAAACUAUAGAGAGAAAGAAGAAAAGUAUUCUGCUACUUCACUACUCUGAUAUCAAGUUUCUUUUACGGUAAGGGGUAUUAUUUCUUUUGUAUUCAUGAAGAGAACUUCUAUUAUUCCAUCUUUAUUAUUCUGUUGGAAUAACCUGUAUACGCGGG